AAUAAGUCGCUUUGGCAAUGAGGACACACUCCGGAAGUACAAAUAUGUGCUCCGGCUGUACAAAGAUGUGCUCCGGCAGCACACCUUCUGGUGCCACGUUGCUCUGGCAGUUGAAUAGGUCGCUCCGGCAAUAAUGACAAGCACUUCGACAGUGCACCUUUUGGAGCCACAUCAUUCUAGCAGUUGAAUUGGUCGCUCCGGCAAUACGCUACUUGGGAU
rnacentral:lncRNA from 1 species